rnacentral:rRNA from 1 species
AUUGAACGCUAGCGGGAUGCCUUACACAUGCAAGUCGAACGGAGUGGCGAACGGGUGAGUAAUGUAACGGAACGUGCCCAGUAGCGGGGGAUAACUACGCGAAAGCGUAGCUAAUACCGCAUACUAUUGGAGCGGCCGAUAUCGGAUUAGCUGGAUGGUGGGGGAACGGCUUACCAAGGCGACGAUCCAUAGCCGAUUUGAGAGGACGACCAUCCACACUGGGACUGAGACACGGCCCAGACUCCUACGGGCGGCAGCAGUGGGGAAUUUUGGACAAUGGGUGAAACCCUGAUCCAGCCAUCCCGCGUGUGUGAUGAAGGCCUUCGGGUUGUAAAGCACUGUUGGCAGGGAAGCGGUACCUACAGAAUAAGCACCGGCUAACUACGUGCCAGCAGCCGCGGUAAUUC